UACGGAGGGGGCUAGCGUUGUUCGGAAUUACUGGGCGUAAAGCGCGCGUAGGCGGCUUAGCAAGUUAGAGGUGAAAGCCCGGAGCUUAACUCCGGAAUUGCCUUUAAAACUGCAAAGCUAGAAUCAUGGAGAGGUGAGUGGAAUUCCGAGUGUAGAGGUGAAAUUCGUAGAUAUUCGGAAGAACACCAGUGGCGAAGGCGACUUACUGGACACAUAUUGACGCUGAGGUGCGAAAGCGUGGGGAGCAAACAGG
rnacentral:rRNA from 1 species